rnacentral:rRNA from 1 species
UACAGAGGGGGCAAGCGUUAUUCGGAAUUAUUGGGCGUAAAGGGCGCGUAGGCGGCUUUGCAAGUGACGGGUGAAAUCCCUCGGCUUAACCGAGGAACUGCCUGUCAAACUGCAUGGCUUGAGACCGGGAGAGGUGAGUGGAAUUCCCAGUGUAGCGGUGAAAUGCGUAGAUAUCGUUUGGAACGCCAAAGGUGAAAACAGACAGCUGGGAGUGUGCUGACGCUGAGACACGAAAGCCAGGGGAGCGAACGGG